UUUCCUUUGAGGCUUCGCGUUCUUUAUCUGCACUCGAAUAUUUCUCAUCUUCUAUCGUAUCUUUUCCAGUUGGAAGCCUCUUCUUGAGUCCGUCAAGGGUUAGGGUUGGUACCAAAAUCUUAGGGUUUACUGUUUUGAAUCUUGGGAAACCCUACAAUGGGAUGGUUUUGGUCAAGGUAUGAGUUCGAGAAGGGAUUUUUGGCGGGAGGAAAAGAAAGAAAACCUGAAAUAGUUGGGACAUCGGGGUGUUCAUUUUGAUUCUCUUCGUCUUGUUGGUAGUUUCGUCACCACAGAGGAUGAUUUCCUGUUGACGACUAAUUUCGUGGUGACCUCCUUUUGAAAGAAUUGUUAGUCUGGUUCUAAUCAGAAAGAUCAAGAGGAAUUCCAGAAAGAUGCUCUAGGCCCUUAUUGUGAGGAGGCUCGAUGCAUCUUGCAUGUGAUCGGCUGUAGGUAUGCAUGCUAAUAGUCACUGUGUAUGUGUAAUCGGUGCAUAUGGAAUCUGACUAUAGUUUCGUAGAA